CACAGGGGUGUGAGUUGGGCCAGUGGAGGUGCUAAUCAGUAUUUUCAUCCCAGGGACUCGAGUCUAUGCCAACAAGAAAGUUGGUUACUCCUUAGUGGAAUGAUAAAAGUUAGAUUGCCAUCAUGUGCACUCCUGGCAGACAGUAAUCACACAGCUCAUCCUGUGUAUUGCACUACCUCCUGGCAGGCUAGUUACUGUCAUGGUGUGCAAGUAACACCUCAGAAAACUCACAUCAGUGAGAUAUUCUAGAGGAUAAACUGAAUGCUGACACCUAUGAGUGAAAGAACUAACUGAUACUUUUUAAAUCCAGAAACUUUGUUUAUUUUUAUUUAAAAAACUGACAAGAAAUAUGAUCACUGUGUUCCAUCUGUUAAAUGCUCAGUCAACUUCACUCUCUGUGACAUCAGAGAGAACAUUCUUGUCUCACUGCAUUGAAACUGUACCUCAGUAGGAGGUGUAAAUCCAUGAACUAUAUUGUGUGUAGUUGUUACACACUAUUCUUCAGCAGGGACAGCAAGAGGAGGUGUGACAUUACCUUUCUGAUAGUACCUCAGGGAGCCUUGGAGGCAACUCAUUUUCAGGUUUAUUCCCAAAAUUUCACUGCCCUUUCUUCAACAACAUGCCUUUGUUGGAGGUACCUUUUAUUGUUUUACUCAUAGAAGCCAGCUCUGUUUCACUUGAGUAGUUCUUAGGGGCAUAGUUCUAUUGACAGGUGAAACUUCCUACAGGCAUUUUGGUCUGUUUAUCUGCAUUAUUAGCUUGCCUGUUGUGAUCUGGCUGGAAGACAUAUCUCAGGAUUUUUAAUUCAACUUGCUGUCUUGACUGCAGCCUGAUCUUGUUGGAGCGAUUCUCCCCUCUCCUCUGCUCUGGUGAGAACCCAGCUAGAGUACUGCAUCCAGACCUGGGACCUCCAGCAUGGAAAGGACAUGGACUUGUUGGAACAAAUCCAGAUGAGGCCCACAAGGAGGUCAGAGGGUUUGAGCACCUCUUACGAGGAAAGGCUGAGACAGAGUUUUUCAGCCUGGAGAAGGCUCUAGGGAGACCUUAUUGUGACCUUUUAGUAUUUAAAGUGAACUUACAAGAGAGAUGAGACCCGCUUUUUAGUAGGGCCUAGCAAUAGGACAAGGAGUAAUAGUUUUAAUCUAAAAUAGUGUCGAUUUUGACUAGAUAUAAGAAAGAAAUUUUUUAUGAUGAGCAUGGUGGAACACUGGAACAGGUUGUCCAGAGAGGUGGUAGGUGUCUCAUCCCUGGAAAUACUCAAGGUCAGAUUGAAUGGGACUUCGAACAACCUGGCUGAGUUGAAGAAGGUCCUGAUGAUUGCAGGGGGGUAGGACUAGAUGAGUUUUAAAAGUGACCUUCCAACCCAAACUAUUCUGUGAUACACAGUAAGUUACUCCAGAGGAUGCACUUCAAAGAAAUGGCUGUACUGUUAUGGAAGUAUAAUCUGACCCCAAGGCUUCAUGCCCUGAUAACCAAGGCAAGUAAGAGGCGCAUGCCCUGUAAUUUCUUUUUCCUAAAAAUAAGCUAAGUAAAUGCUUAUUUAGUUUGAUGAAAAUAUUAGCUGGUUAUAUUAAGCUGACUGAGAAGUAACUAUAAUGCAGUUAUAUAGUGUUUGGUUUUUUUUUAAACUGGAGUCAGAAUAGCUGCCAAAAGACUGGCAGCACAAGUCGGUUGUGACAGAUGAGAGGGGAAUCAUUGCUGGAAUGAUUGCUGGACUCUUAGAAAUUAUAAAAGUAAGGAACAAGGUCCAGUGAAAGAAAGAGGAAAGACAAGGAAUUGUGAAAGACACCAAAAAAGCAGAAGGAAACAGCUAAAAGAUGUACUAUAACAGAUGGGCAGGACUGUUGCUUUUUCCUAACAGUAACUUACUUGGGUUUGGCAUUUUGUUUUCUUUUGUUUUUCUGCACAUUUGGAAAGAAACCCAACUCAUCUGUUGGUGCUCAUAUUGCUUCUGUCAGGUUUAGUGUGCUGGGAUGUGAUCUUAAAAUGAAGAUCUAUAGUAGAGUUAAGAACAGACUUCUGCUGGAGUUCAGCUUCUUUGUAAAUAAAUGAAUCCCACAAAUUUAGCUAAGAAAAGGCUAACAGGGUUACACUGCUACACUCUGAACAACCUCUUCCCUGUGCUUACACUCAUCUGUAUGAUAACUAAAAUAAGACAAUCAAUUUCCUCUGGUGACCUGUUUCUGCACAUAGACAAAUAAAAAUCAAGUUUCCUCUUGGUUCCAAGAUGCUGACAGGUGGGGGAUAAUUACUGUAGCAACAAUUCCUUAUAGGCUUGUGAGAGGACUCCAGAAACCUGGAGUGUUGUGGAGUGCAGGCAUUAGGCAUCACAGGUGCCUUGAUUUUAUGGAAGCAGCCAGAGGGGAAAACAAGUAGUUGUCUGCCAGUGCUGACUCCGGGCUGUAUCAGCUGCUGUUAAUUACCUUGCUCCCAGACAAUUGUCUGACUGCAACUGAGCUGCCUGAUUAAAAUAUUUUACUGCCCCACUUUCUGAACAGUAGUCGUUUUCCACCCUCGGUCCUGGAGCACUCAUGGGUAGGUUGUACUGCCUGCAUCCCACACUAUAUUUUCUUUUUUUUGCUGCUACCAUGUGCAGCAAGUAUGUCUCUUGUGCAGGUGGGGCCCUCAGGGCAGGGGGGAGGAAGUGUUGCUAAUGGAAAAGGUUUGGGCAAUUCUGGAUUGUUUUGCUUUGUAUAAAUCUAGAAGGCUUUGUUUUAUUUUUUAAGCAUUGUUUAGUGAUAGCAGUUGUAGGAAACAUAACAUGAACGGGCCUGAAGAAGUUUGAGUUCAUGACUUGUGAGUUGUCUGAUGUUUUGUAAAUGAAGCAGGAUUCUCCAUCUAAAGUAUCUGUGCUUUGGACUCAGACAGGGACAGCAUGAAAAAUUUUUGGCAAAAUAAGACAAGAAACAUGCAACAUGUGCCUUGGGCAAGCUAAAAGUGACAGAGGUCUACCUCUAGGCCCAGCCUUACUGCCCACGAGGACACGAGCCAGGACAUUUAUGUAAAGUACUGUAUCCUGAGCAUGAAGAAGACAGAUGAACAGAAAGGAAAAGUGGGGAAGGUUUGGUUCUGGACCUGUUUCUGAGCCUGCUUUUUUAGUAAAAGGGAUAGGAGUCUUAGUUGAUGCUUCCAACUGGAUCAAGCAACAUUACUUUUCUUCCCUAGCAAUAUUCCUCUUUGGAAGUGUUGGGCUGUUUUUCAGUUAUUUCCAGUGCUUGCUUUUGUCUAUAAAAUGAAAGCUCUCUGAUGGACUUAACUUAGACUUUACAAAUGCAUGGGGCUGAGUGUAGCUGUCAGGACAUUAAGAAUUUUAAUGAGCAGUUGAAGCAUCAUCCCAAGGAGAGAUAGGAGAGAUAAGAGCAUAAGCUGUUACCAAAAUAACAUUAACGAAGUUGUCCCAUGGCAGAAGAGCAAGGAAGGCAAGAAACAACAGAGCAUAUACCAUGUCUGAGAAAUAUUGCCUUAUUUUCAAGGUUAUAACAUGCUAUUCAGAUAAUUAUUUCAAAUACUCCUUUUAGAUAAGUCCCCAUGAAACAUGUGCUCUCAUAGAAAGUUAACAAAGUCAGACAUCAAAGCUGAAGGGAUCAUAAAGUGGGGAUAGUUAUUUUUUCAGAGGAAACAGGGAGAAUCUUUUCCCAUACUUCAGUGUAUGGCUGCUGAACUUCAAAGGGAUUGAUUAUGCACAUGAAAGCAAAUAUUAACAAUGCUACUGUGUCUUCUUCAAUGCACACUGGUUUAAGACAGCACAUGGUUGCUUUUAACAGGUAUAUCACUGCAGGAAGAACAGACCAGUUGUCAUAUUUAUCUCAUAAAUGCUCUUCCCUGGCCUUAAACAGAGCUACUAAACUCCAUACAGUACACAAUACAAGUAGCAUGUGAAGUUAAUUCCUUCUACCUAAAAGAAACUUAAAAAAGUUUCCUAAAGCAAUCUGAGGAACUUCAGUGAAUGGCAACAAAAUGAACUCUCUUUCUACUUCCUAUUCCUAUUUCAUAAAUUAGAAUAAUUUCGGGUUUUGCGGUGUGGUUGAUGGAUCCUGACUAACAGAGGCAGCAGCAAAUUUACCAGUGCCUACAAUGAUAUUCUACUUCAUGAGGAGAAAUGAAGGGUCUAUUACCACCAUAAUAUGGGUUCUUCGGCCAUGGACUCUAGAUCAAUCCAAAUGGAUUAAAAUAAAGACUCUAGCUCACUGUGAUGGGUAUAUUCCUGCCCCAAUCUUGCUAUGAAUAUAGCACAUUAUUAAAUAUUUAUAGAAAUAUGAUCUUACUGUGUUGGGGAGGUUUUGUUUGUGAUUGAGUGGUAUUUUUCUGGGGCGGGCGGGCAGGUUAUGAAUUGCCUACUUUGGCUGUGUAUGUAACACAUUUGUGGAAAGCAGAUCUUCCAGAUGUUCCUUACAGAGUUUCAUUAAGGCUGAGACCCAGAACAUUGCACAAGAAAAACCAAAGUGUUCUUUCCAUGAGGCUAUUUUUGUAGUAAAAUACCAAUGGCUAUCUUCCCUUCUGAAUUUCUCAGGGUCUUUUUGCUUGAGGGUUGGUCACUCUUGCAUUCUGCUAAGUCACACACACACAAACUUCAGCAGUUCUUGGGCAUUUUAUCUACUGAUUCUUCUUCCUUGGCACUAAUUAAUUCUACCUCUGGGUAAAACAUAGGUUCUUAGAAGCCUCCUCCUCCUCCCCCAGAUUUCCUGACCACCUGCCCUGUUGCUUCUGUUUCCCAAAAUUGUACUUCCAUCAAGUGCAAUGAAUGAGAUACAGGAAGUUCUCUGAGAUGGGAAGAACAUUUUCAUUCCCUGAUAAGCAUUCUACUGAUGGACUGCCAGCACUUGUUACUUUUUCAAGAAAUGAGAGCUGCAGAAUAGCAAGUGGUAGGUAUAAAGGAUGAGGAAUAAGUAUUCCCUGGCUCUUGCUUUUAUCUUGGUUUGCAGGCAAUUAGGUUUAGAUUUUACCCUAGCUAGAAUUAGAAAUUACCAAGAGGGGGUUGAUUUGUGACUGUGUUUUAGUAGCAGUCAGUUUUAUGUGUGAGUCAUGCAAUAACAGAACCCAUUGGGCUGAGAAAUCAGAAUUUCUGUUCUGACGGAAUUUUUAAUUCUUCUGUAAUUUCUUUCUCAUAUUGAACACAAACAAAACAAAUGAUAAAAAAAUUCCAGACAAUAUCCCAGACUGUCAAAAUAUGCAGUUACAUGUCUUUAUGUAGAUCUAUAGUUCAACUUCAUUCUUACUGUUCUCCUAUAAAUUAGAUCAGUGGGCUGGGCUACAUUUCACUGCAUUUCCUCCCCCUCACUAAGCCGCUGCUGUUCCUGCACAAGAGGGAUGCAGUCUGGUAAGAGAGCUUGAGCUGUUGGGUGAAGGACAGUAUUUUUUAUCAAAGAUACCUCUGGCAAGAACCAAGGUGUAGAAGCUUAAGCAUGGAGAUCUGGGCUGAAAGCAAUGUCCUUUUUUUUUUUUUCCCUGCUGAAAAUAAAAUUGGCAAAAUUAACAGUUUCUCUAAUAUUGAAGAAACCACAUUUCUCACUAAGAAAAGCUUUACUGGGAAAUAGACUAACAGUACCAGACAAAAGUGCCUGGUUUUUGUUUUCUAACUCACAUAGAAAUUUCUUGAUUUUGAAGUUGGUGCUCGCUGUGAGAGAGGUGAAGAGUGGUGAAGGUGGAAAGGAAGACAAGUCAUAUAAGUUUUUGGUAAACCUUUAAACCCAUCUUAUAGUGAAUUCCUAUUGGCCUAAAGCCAGCAAACACAGAAGUUCUGUAAAGGCUUGUUUGAGCUAUAAGGUCUUGAGUAAGUGUUUUCCCUGAAGGGUUUGAACUUUACAUCUGAAGCAAGGUCAUCCAUAAAGUACUCAGCAUACAAUAGUUGUUCCUUAUGUAGUGGACCCCCGGUGUAUAUUUCAAUACACCCAUUUCUAAAAAUCUGGUUCUAAUUUAGAUAAAGGGAUUUAAGAAGUCACUGUAGAGCCAAUGUUCUUGUUUUCAGUUCAGAUUCUGAAGAUAAUAAUAAUCAAGAGAGUUAGAUACCGUAGAAAAGACAGAAACAAGAAAUAACUCCUACUGCAUUGAGAGGUGCUGGUUCUCUGCUAGCAUCCAGUGAAUGCCUAGGAAGUUUCCCAAAUUAAAUACCCAGUCCCAGGCAUGAGUAACAAAAUUAUAGCUUGAAUAUUUGUUUUGACAAUGAGAAUAUGAAAAGAAUUAAACUAGUUCACACUAGCAAUGUGGAGAUAGAAAGCAAUCUGCUUAUGGUGUCGCAGUAUGAGGAACAAAGAAGAAGGGCUUUUUGAGGAAUAAAGGUUUAUUAACUGGCUACAAAUAAAUUUAGUUUGAGAGCAGUUAUUAUACUAAAUAUCAGGGGAACAAAGCUCUGUAAUAGCUUCUACUUCAAAAGGCAAUAAACCUCAAAUUUAUUUUCAUUUGGACACAGUCAGAUUUCUGAGUUGCAUUAAAUGAUGCAGUUUAUAAUGAAAAGGGAUUAUUCUAAUGUAUUACAGGCCCAGAACAGUUUUGUAUUGUAUUUUCCAUACUGUGGCAAUGAUUAUUUCCUUGAAUACAGCAGAUCUUGUGCCCUGGAGGAAGAAGGACAUCAGGAUAAAAUCAUAAAAUAGAGUUCUGCAGAUUUGAAUUAGAAUUGCCAAGCAAGUCCAUGAGGGUUUGAGCACUAAUCUAACUUUUAAUCCUCAAAUUUCUCCUGCUGUAAGACUAAGAUGAUGAUGAUCAUAUGCUUUAAUAGGAUACCAAGAAAUAACUCAAUUAAAAAUACUUAUUUAGUGGAAGUUACAUAAAUGCUGAAAAAGAUUCUCUGUCUAGGAAAACUUACUUUGUUUUUUCUCCAUCCAUCUAAUCUGAAACAAUUGUUGCUUCAAUUUGUAGUAAGAUACAUGACUGCAAAGAUAUGCCUGGUACACAGUAAAACUCUGAGAAGUAAUCUCAACUGACACAAUAUGUAGAAAAAAUGUCCUGCUCUGAAUAAAAUUUUAGUAUUAUGCCACAACCGUAUGACAAAAGAUUACUCAGUUAUUGAACAGGAGAGGAAAAUUAGAGGCUCUGUCACUGCCAGGGUUACACUUAUUUUUCAAUACUUUUUCAUCUGUUGAAUUUGAUUGUCCUCAUAAAUUCUUUGUUUAUCUAAUAUGCUGUAUUGCAUUGCAUUACAGAAUGUUGUAUUCUCUUUUCUUCAGCUGACCUAUGCUUGCAUUCAGCUUUGAAAUGGGUGGAUAUAGACUACAGAAGGAUCCCAUUGUCUUUGCUUCAAACCCUGCUUAUUGCAUUUUCCCCUUGGUUUCUGACCCAUUUAUUUCCCUUGUCUAAUGUGGAGGUCUCUUCCCACUUCUGUAAAGCCUCAUGUUUCUCUGUUGCUGUGAAAAGAGCAAUACAGGA